rnacentral:rRNA from 1 species
UACGUAGGGGGCAAGCGUUGUCCGGAUUUAUUGGGCGUAAAGAGCGUGUAGGCGGCCAUACAGGUCAGCUGUGAAAACUCGAGGCUCAACCUCGAGACGUCGGUUGAAACCGUAUGGCUAGAGUCCGGAAGAGGAGAGUGGAAUUCCCGGUGUAGCGGUGAAAUGCGUAGAUAUCAGGAGGAACACCUGUGGCGAAAGCGGCUCACUGGACCAUAACUGACGCUGAUGCACGAAAGCUAGGGGAGCAAACAGG